rnacentral:piRNA from 1 species
UUCAGGAUAGCACUUGGGAUGAUGUG